rnacentral:lncRNA from 1 species
UAUGAAGAAAUUAAAGGAAGAGAUGGAAGGGGUGGUUAAAGAACUUGCUGAAAAUAACCACAUUUUAGAAAGCGAGUCAUUCUGGAACACUCCUGGUUCUCGCUAUGGCCAUAAGAAGUGACUUUCAUGAGACCUUCAGAAGAAUAGCCCGGCUCUUUUACUGGUUCCCCAAAUCACUGACCUGCUCAAAGAAUCGGAAAUCCAAGCUGCUCUGGAGCCAAGGUGGGG